rnacentral:rRNA from 1 species
GGGUAGUUUGACUGGGGCGGUCUCCUCCCAAAGAGUAACGGAGGAGCACGAAGGUGGGCUAAUCACGGUUGGACAUCGUGAGGUUAGUGCAAUGGCAUAAGCCCGCUUAACUGCGAGAAUGACGGUUCGAGCAGGUGCGAAAGCAGGUCAUAGUGAUCCGGUGGUUCUGUAUGGAAGGGCCAUCGCUCAACGGAUAAAAGGUACUCCGGGGAUAACAGGCUGAUACCGCCCAAGAGUUCAUAUCGACGGCGGUGUUUGGCACCUCGAUGUCGGCUCAUCACAUCCUGGGGCUGAAGUCGGUCCCAAGGGUAUGGCUGUUCGCCAUUUAAAGUGGUACGCGAGCUGGGUUUAGAACGUCGUGAGACAGUUCGGUCCCUAUCUGCCGUGGGCGUUGGAAGAUUGAAGGGGGCUGCUCCUAGUACGAGAGGACCGGAGUGGACGAACCUCUGGUGUUCGGGUUGUGUCGCCAGACGCAUUGCCCGGUAGCUAAGUUCGGAAUUGAUAAGCGCUGAAAGCAUCUAAGCGCGAAGCGAGCCCUGAGAUGAGUCUUCCCUGAUACUUUAAGUAUCCUAAAGGGUUGUUCGAGACUAGAACGUUGAUAGGCAGGGUGUGUAAGCGUUGUGAGGCGUUGAGCUAACCUGUACUAAUUGCCCGUGAGGCUUAACCAUA